rnacentral:lncRNA from 1 species
AUACACGUCUCCGAAUGAGGACAGAUCAGGAACUCCCUGUUCAGUUCACAUAUAUAUCAAUGGAAGCAUAUCAGCUCACAGUAAGUUUCCGUUUACUUAAAGAAUCUUAAUCCGUAAAAAAGGAUGCAAUGAUGAUCAUUUCCCUUGUUAGUAGUUUUUCUCGCAAUGAAUACGUCUCAUCAAUCAUUGGCUAAAUAAAUGGGUCUAAAAAAGUUGGUGCUUUGGUUAAAAAAUAAAAUAAAAUAAUCUUGCUUGUCAGUUAACCCCCCCCAUUUUCGUUGGGAAGGAACAGAAAAUAGAACAAACCAUGACGAACAAGUGAAGUGAUAUUUUUAACACGUAGCUAAAAUCACAUAGUGUUAGGUGGGUGGGGAGAGUUUCUUCAAAUGAAUUAAUAGCUUGCCUCUCUCUGCCUAUACUGAUUUAAUUAAAUAUAAUAUCUUAAUUUAUUUUUGUUUUGGCAUGGAACAGUAACAGUAACGUUAUGGAGAUGAUGAAGUGAGAGUUCAGAAGUCAUGAAGUGGGUAACAACUCAAUAGUUGGUGAAGACAGUUGGCUACCAUACAUCCCUAUAUUCUUCUCUUCCCCAAACACACACACACUCAAAAAAAAAAAAAAAAAAGCAGUACUCAUCAUCAUCACUGUGAAUAAACUUGUUCUUCUGUGUCCCAUCAAUUAAAAGAUUAUCAUAAUAAUUUAGUCAAAAGAAAUCUGAAAUAUGUAUUUAUAUGAAUGAUCAGAUUAAGAGAUAUGUAUAUUGGUAGAUAGGGUAUGAUAGAAAUUUACAUCUUGAAUGUCUUGAUCCGUCAAGUAACCAAACUUGAGCAUGGUGGCAGCCACAUAUACUGCUACUCUGAUCUUCUUUGCGAACUUGUGGGUGGCCUGCGUUACGCUUAGCCCUCCAGCGCUGUGCCCGACCAAUAUCACCUAUAAACACGACCAACAUAUAUAUGCAUGUUUAUCCAUAUCUGUACAUGAAUUAAUUAAUGUAUCUAGAAAGUAACAAAGGACCUGGUGAUUAUCAGGCAAGGAGGACAUGAAGUCCAUGAGAGGCUUAUUAUAAUCAUCAAAAGAAAGGAUAGAAUUAGC